AUGUCCUUUACUUACACUGUAGGUAUUGCUAAGGGAGUGUAUUUUAUCUAGUGCUAUACAUUUAAUUGACAUCAACAACACUAUCGUUUUAGUGAGUGUUCAUCAUGUUCAGGAUGUUAUUUUUCUACUGCAACUAACUAUAUUUCUACUAUUAACAAAUGCGGGGUGAGCGCGUGAGGGGUCCUUAUGCAGUUUGUGCCAUUUGUCUGCCUGUUGCUAAUACACAAAGCUGCAAUAGUGUAAUUUAGUUCUGCAAAACUUGAGAAUAUAUAAUACAAUCACAGUAUAUAUUUUUUUUCAUCCGCAGAGAUUACAGGGACGUAUCAAGGUCAAGAUAUAUAAUAAUAAUAAUAGGCUACUAAUAAUAAAUUAUUUUAAUAUGAUAUAUAUAUUAAUAUAUUGAUUGUUAAUAGUAGCCUAUUAUAAUUUAUUAUUAUUAUUAUUAUUAAAGAUCUGCGUAUAAUAACAUAAUAGUGGAACAAUAAUGAUUGUUGUAAUGGUGUUAUUAUUUGUAAAAAAAAAAAAAAAAAAAUUAAAAAAAAAAAGUUUUAGUUAGUCUACUAAUAUAAUAUAUAAUAUAAUAUUAUUCUUGUUGCCAUUGUUAAUAUGAUUAUCAUUUGUCAAAAAUAAAUUGAUAGAAAUUUCAAGCAGCCAAAAAAAACCACGCGAAAGAAAACAAGAUUGAUUGUUUCAGAAAAUUGUUUUCCCGCAAUUACUGUCGAGGGACUUUAAUAACCCAUUUAACAUUACACGAGGACGGACUCCUCCUGGACCGUUUGCUGCGUCCCUUCUCACACAGAUCACAGAGAGGAAAUCAUCAUCACACGGACUCAGAUGGCCCGAGGCGCUGCGUCGAUGAAAUUGGAUAUUUAAGGCAGCGGAGAAAGCAGUUCACGUUCACUCUCAGCGGGCUCGCGGCCAGAGAGGCAGAGGGUGUAGACGCGCGCUCUGUCACUGCCUGACAAAUAAUAUGAGACUAUAGUGUUGUGAACGAGGCUUCUUAUAACGUGACCGGGAAGAGAACAAGGUACGGAACGCGGAGGCUUUUUGAGGAGGACGGUGGAUGACCGCGAGCGCUCACUUCAGCGCGCGCGUUACCAGUGCGUCACCUUUCAGAAGAGCGCGUGUCACUGAACUCCAGCUGCAGGUCCAAAGUCUUGAGGGGGAUGAAGUGUGCUGUCAGCAUACUGGAAACGCAAAACCGGCUUGUAGGAGGCAGAGAGCUGAUAAGGCAGCAGAAGCGGGAGAGAUGAAGGUGACCUGUGGCUGGGCCAGGGGCUGCAACACAGGACAUGGGAGCUGCCUCUCACUCCCGCUCGUGUCUUGUGUUGCAGCCAGUGGAACUGCUGCACUUUCCACAUAAGAGACGGAACCAUCACACUCGGGGAACAUUACAUCAUCUUACAGUGCCUUCCUGUGAAGUAAUUUCUCUUCUCAGCUUCUUCUGUAAGGAAAACACAGAGCCAAUAAUGAUGUGUAAGUUCCUGAUUAAAAGACGCUUAUGUGCAAAUAAACGAUUAUGUACAAAGGAAAGGCAGAAUAUAACACUUAAUUGUGGCUGGAUCUAUUUAUUUAUUCUAAGAAACAUUAAAAAUGCAAUUUAUAUAGACAAUGACUUGAAUACAUCUCUUCUAUGAUCAACGUGUUUUCAAUUUCUGAAAUUAAAAAAAAUCAUGCAGAUAGGGGCAUAAUGUCAAAAAUAAUAUCUCUCCUGAGAAAAAACUGUAUAAAUAGGCCAAAAAUCAUAGAGUGAAAAGUACUUUGUAAGUACCAAUAUUUUUUUAUUAUUUCUUGAAAAAAGUUGCAGUUUUGUAAAAUAUUAGUAGUAAUAUUUUAAAUAUUAUAUACAGUAUAUUCUAUUAUAUAGCUCUUAUAUAUAUAUUUAUAUAUUAUUAUAUAUAUAUUAUAUACACUAUUCACUAUUGUUUGGGGUCAGUAAGAUUUUUUCUUUAAAAAAAUUAAUACUUUUAUUCAAUAAGGAUGCAUUAAAUUGAUCACAUGUGACAGUUAAUGUUUAAAAAAAUGUUACAAAAGAUUUCAGUUUCAAAUAAAUGCUGUUCUUUUGAACUUUCUAUUCAUCAAGAAUCCUGAAAAUAAAUGUAUCACGGUUUCCACAAAAAAAAAAUUGUUGGUUAUUUUAAAUUGUAAUAAUAUUUCACAAUGUUACUGUACUUUUUUAUUUAUUUAUUUUUUGAUAAAAUAAAUGCAGCCUUGGUGAGCCCAAGAGACUUUUUUUUUAAACUAAUAAUCAGUUUGGUGUAACCAGCAUGCAGGAAGCCAUUUUGUUGUCAUGUCACAAGAAAGCCAUCAUGUCAUAUAUUCAUGAUUGUAAAGUAAAGUUUGGAGAAAAAAACUA